rnacentral:rRNA from 1 species
UACGUAGGGUGCAAGCGUUAAUCGGAAUUACUGGGCGUAAAGCGUACGCAGGCGGCUUUGCAAGACAGGUGUGAAGUCCCCGGGCCUAACCUGGGAACUGCAUUUGUGACUGCAUAGCUAGAGUUUGUCAGAGGGGGGUGGAAUUCCACGUGUAGCAGUGAAAUGCGUAGAUAUGUGGAGGAACACCGAUGGCGAAGGCAGCCCCCUGGGAUGUGACUGACGCUCAUGUACGAAAGCGUGGGGAGCAAACAGG